GACGAACGCUGGCUGCGUGCUUAACACAUGCAAGUCGAACGCUGAAGCCUGGUGCUUGCACCGGGUGGAUGAGUGGCGAACGGGUGAGUAACACGUGAGUAACCUGCCCCUGACUUCGGGAUAAGCCCGGGAAACUGGGUCUAAUACCGGAUACGACUGCCGGACGCAUGUCUGGUGGUGGAAAGUUUUUUCGGUUGGGGAUGGGCUCGCGGCCUAUCAGUUUGUUGGUGAGGUAAUGGCUCACCAAGACGACGACGGGUAGCCGGCCUGAGAGGGCGACCGGCCACACUGGGACUGAGACACGGCCCAGACUCCUACGGGAGGCAGCAGUGGGGAAUAUUGCACAAUGGGGGAAACCCUGAUGCAGCGACGCAGCGUGCGGGAUGACGGCCUUCGGGUUGUAAACCGCUUUCAGCAGGGAAGAAGCGCAAGUGACGGUACCUGCAGAAGAAGUACCGGCUAACUACGUGCCAGCAGCCGCGGUAAUACGUAGGGUACGAGCGUUGUCCGGAAUUAUUGGGCGUAAAGAGCUCGUAGGUGGUUGGUCACGUCUGCUGUGGAAACGCAACGCUUAACGUUGCGCGUGCAGUGGGUACGGGCUGACUAGAGUGCAGUAGGGGAGUCUGGAAUUCCUGGUGUAGCGGUGAAAUGCGCAGAUAUCAGGAGGAACACCGGUGGCGAAGGCGGGACUCUGGGCUGUAACUGACACUGAGGAGCGAAAGCAUGGGGAGCGAACAGGAUUAGAUACCCUGGUAGUCCAUGCCGUAAACGUUGGGCACUAGGUGUGGGGGGCAUUCCACGUUCUCCGCGCCGUAGCUAACGCAUUAAGUGCCCCGCCUGGGGAGUACGGUCGCAAGGCUAAAACUCAAAGGAAUUGACGGGGGCCCGCACAAGCGGCGGAGCAUGCGGAUUAAUUCGAUGCAACGCGAAGAACCUUACCAAGGCUUGACAUACACCGGACCGUCCUGGAAACAGGUCUUCUUCUUUGAAGCUGGUGUACAGGUGGUGCAUGGUUGUCGUCAGCUCGUGUCGUGAGAUGUUGGGUUAAGUCCCGCAACGAGCGCAACCCUCGUUCUAUGUUGCCAGCACGUGAUGGUGGGAACUCAUAGGAGACUGCCGGGGUCAACUCGGAGGAAGGUGGGGAUGACGUCAAAUCAUCAUGCCCUUUAUGUCUUGGGCUUCACGCAUGCUACAAUGGCUGGUACAGAGAGAGGCGAACCCGUGAGGGCAAGCGAAUCCCUUAAAGCCAGUCUCAGUUCGGAUCGUAGUCUGCAAUUCGACUACGUGAAGUCGGAGUCGCUAGUAAUCGCAGAUCAGCAACGCUGCGGUGAAUACGUUCCCGGGCCU
rnacentral:rRNA from 1 species